rnacentral:lncRNA from 1 species
AACUUUCGUAUUUCUUUAGCACAGAGCUAUAUAAAAGAGAGCUAUUUAAUUUUUUUCUCUUUGGCUUAGAGCACAGAAGCUUUCAGGGUGGAGAGUCAGGACAGGUUCUAUGGACAUAUGGAGCUCCCAGGGGGGCUUGUGCAGGACUCAAGGAAAUGUCCAGCUUAACCUGCUGGGCACAACAAUUUUGCUGCUUCAACCCAUCUGCUAUGGAAAAUGAGGAGCCAACAAAAAAGGGAGAAACAGAGGUGAAGGCACCUGAUAAUGAAAGCUUUAAGAAAGGGAAGGGGUUCUUCCUCCCUACUGGACCACAGGCGUGUCUCAGCAUUG